UGUUGCUUGCAAGGGCGUAUGGUGGAUGCCUUGGCAGACAGGACCGAUGAAGGACGUUUGAGGCUGCGAUAUGCCUCGGGGAGCCGCCAACAGGGCUUUGAUCCGAGGAUUUCCGAAUGGGGGAACCCACCGACCGUCAUGGGUCGGUACCGGCUUCGGCCGGGGGGUACGCAGGGAAGUGAAACAUCUCAGUACCUGCAGGAAAGGAUAUUCCGUGAGUAGUGGCGAGCGAAAGCGGAUGAUGGCCAAACCUUGCGCGUGUGAUACCCGUCGGGGGUUGCGCGCGGGGUGUUGCGGGAUCGCGUGCGCCGGCUCCGACGGGCCGGCCGGCAGUUGCAGAAAACCAUGUGUCAGGGGAACCGGGUUGAAUACCGGGCCGCAGAGGGUGAGGGCCCCGUACCUGAACGCGCAUGGUCUGCCGAUCGCGUCUCCCAAGUAGCACGGGUCCCGUGGAACCCCGUGCGAAUCCGCCCAGACCGUUGGGUAAGCCUGAAUAUUCCUGUCUGACCGAUAGCGAACGAGUACCGUGAGGGAAAGGUGAAAAGUACCCCGGGAGGGGAGUGAAACAGUCUCUGAAACCGUGCGCCUACAAUC
rnacentral:rRNA from 1 species